rnacentral:rRNA from 1 species
UACGGAGGGUGCAAGCGUUGUUCGGAAUCACUGGGCGUAAAGCGCGUGUAGGCGGCUAUCUAAGUCUGAUGUGAAAGCCCUGGGCUCAACUCAGGAAGUGCAUUGGAUACUGGAUAGCUGGAGUACCGGAGAGGAGGGUGGAAUUCCUGGUGUAGCGGUGAAAUGCGUAGAUAUCAGGAGGAACACCGAUGGCGAAGGCAGCUCGCUGGGACGGUACUGACGCUGAGGCGCGAAAGCGUGGGGAGCGAACAGG